ACAUUUUUCAUUUCCUAUGUAAUUCACAUUAAUGUACACAUUUAAAAACCUCUAAGGUAAUGCAGGACUAUUUGUGAACUGCUUAGGAAAUGAAUAAUGUGAAUAGGAAGCCCUGAACAGAUAUAAAGACAAAAAUAUUGUAAUUUGUAAGUUUUCAACAAUAUAACUGAUAAGACUGUCCAUUAAGGGUUUAAGUUAGGCAAUACAUUUACCACCUAUAGCAUUAAUACAACGAGCUAACUGUUUAGGGAGCCAAAAAGCAAUGCAAUGUUUUCGGUCUCUGCAUGUAUGGGUCAUGAAAUCAAAAAAUUAUAAUAAAAUGUAGUCAAAUACAAUGACAAUGUGACCUUGAUCCCAAUACAACAGUACACACAUAAUGUACAUGCAAAAAGAUAACUAUUCAGAUCAGAUUGACCAAAUCAGAGUGACAAAAUAUAAAGGCAUUUGUUGCAGAUCCAUUCCAGUUUUAGACCAUUCUUCCAUACAGGACUCUAUUAGCAGUUGUUUAUUUAACAGCAGGUGUAAGGGGGGAGAUGCUGAAGCUAAAACCUUAUAAUAUUAUCAGAUAAAACAAGCACCUAUGCACACACCUGUACUUAUAAAGAGUGAAAAAUGAUCAAACGCUGUCAGUGCAGUUGCUAAACAUUGCGUUAUACAGAGGAAUGGUGUGGAGGAAAAGCUGGCUUUAUUCUUGAGGGGAACCUUUCAGAAUUCCGUGACAGACAUCCGGUAAUUUUGCUACUGCAGCUCAAAGAAAAAUAAAAAUGUCAGGUUCCAAGACAUGCAGAAAACCACACUGACAUGGCCCUUUAUAAAGUCUGAGUCAGUCUAGAAGUUACAUAACUCAACUACUUUCAUAAAUCUAGUUCUUGUGCAACUGUGC